AACAGCCAUGCUAACAGGUGUGGGGCCUCUCACUGCGGUUUGAUUUGCAUUUUUCUUGGUGGUUAGUGACACUGAACAUCUCUUCAUGUACUAUUUGACCAUUUGUAUAUCUUAAUUUGAGAAAUGUCUGCUUGGGUCCUUGGCCCUUUUUUUUUAGGUAUUUUCUUUAUUUACAUCUCAAAUGUUAUGUCCUUUCCUAGUUUCCCCUCCGAAAAUCCCCUAUCCCCCUCCCAUAUGGGGCAUAGAGAACACGGGCCUCUCCUCCCAUUGAUGACUGACUAGGCCAUCCUCUGCUACAAAUAUAGCUAGAGCCACAAGUUCCACCAUGUGUUUUCUUUGAUUGGUGACAUAGUUCCAAGGAGCUCUGGGGGUAUUGGUUAGUUCAUAUUGAUGUGCCUUCUAUAGAGCUUCAGUCCCCUUCAACUCCCUGGGUAUUUCUCUGGCUCCUUCAUUGGGGACCUUGUGCUCCAUCCAAUGGAUGACUGUGAGCAUCCACUUCUGUAUUUGCCAGGCACUGGCAGAGCCUCACAGGAGACAGCUAUAUCAGGCCCCUGUCAGCAGGCUCUUGUUCCCAUCUGCCUAGUAUCUGGGUUUGGUACUGGAAGAUCCAGCAAUACCUCUCCUGGGCAUAUACUCAGAAGAUGAUCCAACUUGUAAUAAGGACACAUGCUCCACUAUGUUCAUAGCAGCCUUAUUUAUAAUAGCCAGAAGCUGGAAAGAACCCAGAUGUCCCUCAACAGAGGAAUGGAUACAGAAAAUGUGGUACAUUUACACAAUGGAGUACUACUCAGCUGUUAAAAACAAUGAAUUUAUGAAAUUCUUAGGCAAAUGGAUGUAUCUGGAGGAUAUCAUCCUGAGUGAGGUAACCCAAUCACAAAAGAAGUCACUUGAUAUGCACUCACUGAUAAGUGGAUAUUAGCCCACCUUUAAGGGAUGAUUUGAGUGUGUGUUUAUUUAUUCUUCAGUUUGAAUUUCUCAGGUAUUUGGGAUAUUAAAACCCUAGACCAGAUUUGGUUUGCAAAUAUAUCUCCUAUUUCAGUGGGUUGUCUUUUCGGUCUUUUGAGUAAACAGCUCUUUGUUGUGGAUUUUUGCAGUUUGGUACAAUCUUCAUGUCUCUUCUGGUGUUUGUUACCUGUGCUGUGUGAAGAACACAAAAACAUCAUUGUGUAGACUGGCAUUUGUAUGGUUUCUGUUUGAAUCUUUACCCUGUUUUGAGUUGAUUUUUAUAAGUGGUGUGAAAUAGGAUCUAAUUUCAUUUUUUUUUUCUGCUUCUAGAUACUCAGUUUCUACAAACCAUUUCUUGAAGAGUGUUAUUUCCCAAUGUGUUCUUGGCACUCUUAUUGACAAUCAGUUGACUAUAGGUGAUGAAUUAAUUAUUUUAGCUGCCUAUUUGGGUCCACUGACCUAUAAAGCUAUUUCUAUUCCACUACUGUAGUGUUUUGAUUUUUGUGGUUUUAUUUUACUGUGGUUUAUUACUGUGUGUGAUGCCUCAUCAAUAUUGCUUUAACGAUUUGGGUAUUUUGUGGCUCCAUAUGAAUUGCAAGCUUGUGUGUAUAUUCCUAUAAAGAUUGGCAUAUAGGGUUUUUUUUUAUUUUGUUUUUCCUAAAGAUCAUUUUGACCGGUGUGGAAAUUUUCAACAAUAUUAAUUAUUCCAAUCUAUGGACACAAACUGUCUUUCCAUUCAUUGUAACUGGACUUUUGGCUACUUUGUGGGUUCUUCUUUCUUCCAGCAUUCUCCACCCCUCCACCCCCUCCCUUUCAAAUCCCUAACAGUAGGAGGGAAAGAAAAGAGGAUAGAGGGGGAAGGGGGCAUGUUGUAGUUGAUAAGUAAUCUCAAACUGGGGUUUCUGCCUCACCUUUGAUCGUUUAGUUUCCAGAUUAAAAAACACACAACCUUUAUAUUUACAAUAAGCCUUAAACAGCACUAAAACUGGACAGAUAUAUGCCUUCUAAGCGAUUCUGUCUACUUUUCUGUCAAAAAAUGCGAUACAACUUGCCAUGUUCCAUAUGGGCUGCUCAUAACUCCAAUUUGCCAGCCCUCGAUGCCAUGUUUUUAAGAUUCUUUUCCCCUCACCACCUCUUCUCCUCUCUCUCCUCCUCAUGGUCUCCUUCCAGACACCAAGCUUGGGAACCACUCUCAAUUCUUCCAGCUAUAGGCUGUAGGCAUCUUCAUUCACCAAUCAGGGAUAACUUGUGGGGCCGGUUACAUAACAUCACUUGUGUCUACGUGCAGAUUCUUUUGUCCUUGGGCAAGAUAUCCACCAGGCCCUGGGGGCCAAUAUUUAGCAUAACAAUAUGUAGCAAAAAAAAAUCAACAAUUCACCUUCUCUAAAUGGAAAAGUUAUUUCUCUCAUAACAAUUAACAACAUACAGUAGAAGCAAUUAUGAAAAUUAUUAGGUAUGAACUACAGUUUUAAAGUCCAGUUUGGGUCUGGAGAGAUGGCAGUUAAGAGCACUGACUGCUCUUCCAAAGGUCAAAUCCCAGCAACCACAUAGUGGCUCACAACCACCCAUAAUGAGAUCGGAUGCCCUCUUUUGGAGUGUCUGAAGACAGCUACAGUGUACUUACAUAAAAUAAAUAAAUAAAUAAAUUUAAAGUUCAGUUUGUUUGUAUUUGGCAAGUCAGGAAAAGGUAUUUUAUUAUCUAGCUUAUCUUGGUGAGUUUAGAAUUCUGUAUUUAAAUCAAUUUCUUCCCUAAUUUGUAUUAUUAACUUGAAAAUCUUUUCUUAGACUUAAAACAUCUUCCUAAGUGCUAAACAACUUAAGUUUAAUUGUCAGAAUAUAACUAUCUGGUCUUCAACCCCAUCAGAGACCUGAGAAGAAAUAAAUAUUACCCGAGUACACAGGAACAUAGGGACACAGCUUCCAGAAAUUAUGGAAACGACAGAGAGAUGACCACCUGGACAGUCUCCAAUAUUCUCUAUAAUGUUGGAGCAUCUAUCUCCAGCCUUCUGGCCCAGAAUAUCUGAAAGAUUUUAUGUGAAGCAGGAAUUAUGAAGGACUUGCUUACCCUAACUUGUCAGAGCUUAGCAAUUGACUUUUCUGCAUCCCUGUCCUUUUUGGACAGCAGUUGGUCUGCAGAUGCAUUUAGGAUACUUUCUUUGCCCAGUGUCUAACUUGAUACAAUUGAAGCAAUUCCACGUGGAGGUUUCGAUGCUCAUCAUCUUUGAAGUGGAAUGGGGGUGCUGUCAGGAGCAGGCCUGUCUCAUAGUCAGAAGAUAUUUUAAUAAUGAAAUAAUUUGAAAUGCCAUAUUCUGUGGAUCUCUGAGGUUAUGAAGACUAUCUAUUCAUAGCAUAUCUGAACUAGCAGAUGUUGCCUGUCUCCAGUUAUCUAUUAUCUGUACAACCCAUGCUUUAUAGUCUAUGAUAAUACAGACUAGCAAAACAUAACCAUGUGUUUGAUUAUCUAUUAAGUUGUAUUUCUUAAAAUCCUUAAUAGUUCCUAACUUGUAUUUUUAACUGAGUUGCAUAGGCACAAUGUUGAGAGCUGAAACAUAAUAUAUAGUAUGUUGUAACAAAAUUAAUCUUAAAUUUUGUAUCAUAAUACAAAGAUUUAUACCAAUGAAAACCUUAAACCUGUAUCAAUAGACAAAAUUCUGUGCCAAUGUAACAAUAUAACCUCAAUUUUGCAUCAAAAUAUAAAGAUCUCAACCAAUGUGAGAUUAUGGCUAUAAAACUUUCUUUUUUUUUUUUCUUUUUGGUUUAAGAGUAAAUUCAAUUAUCUACUCCUGUUGUGGGGAAUAUUAAAAAAGGAAAACCAGCACAUUCCAGCACUGUGCCUCCAACUCUCUGCCCCUGUAGCCUGGUCAGCCAUGCACUGGCGGCCAAUGGCUGACCUGUUUUUAUCUCAUGGAGAUUCUGACUCUGAACUCCACAAUCUUUCCACCCAGCUCUCUAGGUUCCCACUGGCAGUUGCUACCAUGCCAACCCCAUGCUUCAAAUCCCUCACAGCCUUUGUGGUACACAUCCGUACCUUUCUCUCUUGAACCAGAUGAGCCACCGCAUGAACUAAAGGAACUAAAACCUAAUCUUGUAAGCCUUAUUAAAAUCUGAUUCCUCUGGUAGCAAAUCCUUGUGGAUCCACCAUGAUACCAGGAAACUCUGGCAGCUACAUCUUACUCCUUCCUCUGCUGUCCUGUCCCCAAAGGAUAGAAAUUAAGUUAAGUACAAAAUUUAAGCACACCAAAAUAGGAUAGAUAAUAGAAUAUUUUCUAAAGUUGUCCAAUACUAUGGACUGGACAUUAUAAAUAUAUAUCAUAUUUAUAGUUUUCAUAAUUGUUUAAUAAUUGUUAUAUUGGUAUUCAAUGUGUGUGUAUGUGUGUGUGUAUGUGUGUGUGUUUUAAAGAGCCUUUUAUUGAGACAAAAGGGAGAAUUAUAGAGAGAAUAUUUUGUGUAUUGUAGGGAUGCAUCACAUCUCAAUUAAAAAAUCUCUGACCUGUAGAGGUGGAACGUCUGGGAGAGAGAAAGGGUCCUGGGAUAGAACCAGGCAGGAGACUGGCCAGGGAAUAUGUAACAAGAUGGAUGCAUGGUACCUGAGCACAGGUAACCAGCCAUAUGGCAGAAUGUAGGUUAAAAUAAAUGGGUUAUCUUAAGUUAUGCUUCUAAUCAGAGAAGAGCCUAGCUAUGUGGCCAAAGUGUUUGUAAAUAUAUUUUGAGUCUGAGUUUAUCUGAAAUCAUGGGGCUGGAAGCAAGAAUCAGGCCUAACUUUUACAGACUACCUGCCAAACCAGAACCCAAAGCAACCAACCACCAACUGGUUAAUAAGCCACCAUGAGCUCCCCAACUACAGGGGUCCUAGAAUUUACAUACCUGCAGAAAAGUCCCCAGAAUUCCAAACGUCACACACUCACAAAAACUAUCUGCAGCUGGCAAAAUCACACCCAUACUAGAGCACGAGGCAAUCAUACUCAGCUUCUGUGGACAAUCUGAAGCAGCCUCAUAUCCCACACCUGGAUUAAAACCAGAACACAUUCUUAUGAAAUUUCUGUCAUUCUAAAGAAACCAAACUUCUCACUACAAUUCAUCUUUGUCUUCUUUCAUGCAUAUUUUUAUAAUUUUCAGUGUAUACAUCUUUUGUAAGGGUUUUCCCUAUGUAUUCUUCUGUUACUACCCCCACACUGAGCUACAUCAGGCCCUACGUAUUUUACCAUUUUUGUUGCUUUUGUGAAUCAAAUUGCUCACUUAAUUUUCUUAUCAGUCCAUUCAUUGAAAAUAAAAAUGCAUCAGGGACUGGUUGGUGGUGGCACACAUGUUUAGUCCCAGCACUCAGGAGGCAGGGGCAGGGAGAUCUUUGAGUUCGAGGCCAGGAAUUUACAGAACAAAUACAGGAAAGGCAUGGUUACACAGAGAAACUCCAUCCAAAAAAAGGGAGGAGGUGGAGGAGGAGG
rnacentral:lncRNA from 1 species